rnacentral:tRNA from 1 species
AGUAAAGUCAGCUAAAAAAGCUCCUGGGCCCAUACCCCAGUAAUGUAAGUUAAAAUCCUACCUUUACUA